AAAACAUCUUCUCUUGAAUUAAUAUGAGAUAGGACCUGCCCAAUGAUUUAUUUAAUGGCCGCGGUAAUUUGACCGUGCAAAGGUAGCAUAAUCAUUAGUUUAAUAAUUGUAAACUUGUAUGAAUGGUAUGACGAAACAUUAACUGUCUCUAUUGUAUUAUUGGAAUUUAAAUUUUUAGUUAGAAUGCUUAAAUUUAUUUAUUGGACGAGAAGACCCUAUAGAUCUUUAUUAUUAUUUAUAUAAAUUGAUUUAGAUUAAUUAUUAUUUAUUUAUUUAAUAAUUUUGUUGGGGUGACAUGGAGAUAUAAAUAACUCAUUAUUAUUAUUAUCAUUUAUUUAUGAAUAUAUGACCUUAUUUUAUUGUUAGAAGAUGUAGAUACCUUAGGGAUAACAGCGUAAUUUCUUUUGAGAGUUCAUAUUGACAGGGAAGAUUGCGACCUCGAUGUUGGAUUAAGAUUAUUAUUUGGUGUAGGUGCUAAAAUUUUAGGUCUGUUCGACCUUUAAAAUCUUACA
rnacentral:rRNA from 1 species